UACGAAGGGGGCUAGCGUUGUUCGGAUUUACUGGGCGUAAAGCGCACGUAGGCGGAUCGUUAAGUGAGGGGUGAAAUCCCAGGGCUCAACCCUGGAACUGCCUCUCAUACUGGCGGUCUUGAGUUCGAGAGAGGUGAGUGGAAUUCCGAGUGUAGAGGUGAAAUUCGUAGAUAUUCGGAGGAACACCAGUGGCGAAGGCGGCUCACUGGCUCGAUACUGACGCUGAGGUGCGAAAGCGUGGGGAGCAAACAGG
rnacentral:rRNA from 1 species